UUAAGUUCAGCGGGUAUUCCUACCUGAUCCGAGGUCAACCUUGUUAAAAAUUCUCCCUAAGGGGAGGCAGACCGUGCCCCGCGAGCCCUUAUCCAGUACGUGCUCCGUGAAGAACUCAGUGUACCGGGGGUCCAACGAGGCCGCCGUCAUUGUCUUUGGGAGGGGUGGGACUUAGUAAUACGUCCUACCGACCGUCCAAC
rnacentral:misc_RNA from 1 species